CUGCGGUUUUCGUGCGGCACGCUUACGUGGCGAGUUCCACGUCAUCCGCGUGAGAAGAUAACGCAACGAAGGCAGAAUCGCGUCAAACUUCUCCAAGCGAUUCUUCAUCACGAAACCUAGCCACUCCUCCCUCUCCGAAUCGCCGAAGCGCCCCCCUCCUUCGCCCUCCUCGCGGCGAAUACACCUCUCGUAGAGAAGCUACGAGACCGGACCUACGACUCUCUCUCGCAGCGAGCCCUCUUCUACCGCGAACUCUCCCUCGCCGCGAGCUUUCCCUUGCCGCAAGCCCUCUCUCGACCGGCAAGCUCUCCCUCUCCGCGAGCCCUCUCCUUCCUAUGUCUCUCCACUCACCGACGAACUAGGGCAUCAUUAUCCGCUCCUCUCAUUUAGUGCUGCAGGAAGUUCAUUUGGAUCAUACUUUCUUCUCUGAUUCAUUUGGAGCAGCAUUGCCCCAAGCCUAGCCUCAGGUGUCUUGUGUCGCUACCGUGGAGGUACAAGGUGUCGGUUCCAUGGCCCAAGAGCAGAGACAUGGUGAGAUUAAUUCUUGGUUUCUCGUUGCUUCCGAUUCCCGUGUUGACUCGUACUGAUCUGUAAAGGAGGAGCGUGCUACCACUUUGAGAAGAAUAUGCAAUCGUACAUUAAAAAUCUUCUAGACGGCAUUGAUCUCCUCACCAUGCCGGCUUGGAUCAAGGAGAUCAAAUAUUCCUCACCAUGUCGGAUGGUCGCCAUGUCAGCAAACCGCACGAAACCGCAGCAACCGCGCCGUAGGAGAUCAAUGUUGUAUAUAUAUAUACACUUUAACUUUGAUGAUAUGAUGAAGAAGGCACCAAAUGCUAGAAUGGCACAUCCAUGGCCAGACCACUUUUAUCCAUUGCAUGUGGCACUUGGAGCUGCAGGGGAAAGAGCAAAGGCUGAAUUAAUUCUACUAUUUUAUUUUUUUUUCUUCUUGUGUUGUAUGUUCUGGGGUCAGGUAUUGGACUGUAACUAUUUGUUUGUUGGCUUCGGGUGUUGUAAUUUGUUUCUAAACAGCCAGUUGCUUAAAGUUGCUUAAACUUGUAAUGAUAGUUUCAUUUUCUUAAUUCUGUCUCUUUAUCUCUUGUAACGACAGUAUGUUGGCUUCGUGCAGUUGUUCAUUCUUGUGUCAAAUUAUAUACUAGUUGUUUGCUUCA